CUACUUCAAUAAUCUCCACUUGUGGUCCCUGGGACUUCAGCCACCUCCUCCACCAGGGUCUCUUCUAGUACAUCUGCCACCUCCUCCACUUGCCUGGCCUCUGCUAUCUGAACCAACUCCUCUGGGACCUCAACCAGCUCCUCUACCCAUUGUGGCCUGUAAGACCUCAACCACCAACUCCACAUGUACCACUUGGAUAAUUUUGAAAUUUGAAGAGUCUCCUGGGCCAUGAUAUCUUGGAAAAGUCUCCACCAUAUUUGAUGCUCCAUGCCCCGUGCUCCCUCCUCUCUCUCUCAUUUCCAGUGUUUCCCUUUAGAAACAUUUGCAGUCCUA
rnacentral:lncRNA from 1 species